AUUGAACGCUGGCGGCAGGCCUAACACAUGCAAGUCGAGCGGAUGAAGGGAGCUUGCUCCUGGAUUCAGCGGCGGACGGGUGAGUAAUGCCUAGGAAUCUGCCUGGUAGUGGGGGAUAACGUCCGGAAACGGGCGCUAAUACCGCAUACGUCCUGAGGGAGAAAGUGGGGGAUCUUCGGACCUCACGCUAUCAGAUGAGCCUAGGUCGGAUUAGCUAGUUGGUGGGGUAAAGGCCUACCAAGGCGACGAUCCGUAACUGGUCUGAGAGGAUGAUCAGUCACACUGGAACUGAAACACGGUCCAGACUCAUAAGGGAGGCAGCAGUGGGGAAUAUUGGACAAUGGGCGAAAGCCUGAUCCAGCCAUGCCGCGUGUGUGAAGAAGGUCUUCGGAUUGUAAAGCACUUUAAGUUGGGAGGAAGGGCAGUAAGUUAAUACCUUGCUGUUUUGACGUUACCAACAGAAUAAGCACCGGCUAACUUCGUG
rnacentral:rRNA from 1 species